GGUUUUUAUUGAGAUUAAAAAAACAUCAACAAAUAAAACAAAUAUUGACAUUUCACUUUAUUACAGCAAACUUUCCAAAUAUUUUCUCUGGAACAAAACUCAAACUCACAUUACCCUCAAAUUAAUGUUAGGUGGCUUCACAGACCUAUUUCUAAUUACAGAGAUAGAUGCACUAUGUUUUACAAUAUGUAUGUUUUUAUCUGUAUAGUGCAACUGCAUUGUCAAAAACAUUACAAGAUAAGAACAUUGAAUUAAUCGAAACAGCAUAGGAUAAGAGCAGACCAAGUUGAAAACAUGAAACUGAAAGAAACUUGUUACAGGAACGUGAAAUCAUACAAAUUAUAGAUUUUGCUGUGUACCUCAAUUACGAUUUUUAUAUGACAGAAAUUGCAAAGUUGCAAUGCAGUAUGAACUGAUAUUGUCAUGCACACAAUUCAUUAAAGAAAUUAAUAGCAGGCUAGAAGACAUGUUUAACAUACAUGCAAUCUUGAACAACAUUUACAUACAACUUCGCCCAGUCUGUGAAACCAAGCCAUCCACUUCAGGUGAAAGCCAGGUAAUAAAAAACAUGUAAAAAUAGUUGAUAGCUAACAGAUAAGUCUUAAAAAUAACUAUGAGUAUUGAUGUUUAGUGAAUUACAAGGAUGAUACUAGCUAACAAAAAACCCUCACAGUAGACAAUAACUAUACAUCUUCUGGGAGAUAUCUUAGUGAUGAUUGGAUUGGAAGUUUACAGUUACCGUCUUGACUCCACAAGGUGAAGUAUGCAAUGAAUCAAGUGAAAUAAAGUGCAACUAUGUUUAAUGGCACCGUCCCAAAUGGCACCUUAUUCCCUUUAUAGUGGUCACAUGUGGCUCAGUUGGUAGAGGAUGGUGGUAGAGCAUGGUUUGCAACGCCAGGGUUGUGGGUUUGAUUCCCACGGGGGACCAGUACGAAAAGAAGAAAAAAAAUGUAUGAAAUGUAUGCAUUCACUACUGUAAGUCGCUCUGGAUAACAGCGUCUGCUAAAUGACUAAAAUGUAAUAGUGCUCUACUUUUGACCAGGGUCCGUAGGCUCUGGUCAAAGUAGUGCACUUUAUAGGGAAGAGGGUGCCAUGACAGUGACACUAACAAAAUCUGUAUCGAAACAAAGAUAGCUGGGAAGAAGUUGUUACAUUCAAAGCUUUGGCAAUUAAGAGAAAUAAAAUUACAAGACAUUAGCAUUUUGAAAAUUGCAGACCCUCAGGAGAGAUAAGACAACAAUUAAAAGUAUGUUAUUUAUUUAUUACAAGAAACAAAACACUGAUUUAACCCAUUUUAGCUUCUUAUUUACCUAUAUGAGUAAAUAGACAAUUGAUUCAUACAUUCAUGAUCUUUCCCACAUUGUAACAUUUUGGAUGGAGAUGAAGGAACAUCUCGGUAAAAGCUCAAUGAGAAUAUCAUGACCAAAAGGAUGCGCAUGGAAUUAGAAACCGUAUCCAAAUGGGAUAAGUCUGCACAGACCAAUAUAUUAACAACUGUCAAUGAAAUUGUCUUCACAUCAUUCAAGCUAUGAAGGGGAAGAAAAAAAAAUGACAUGGUUUCCACAAAGCAUCAAAAAUAAUAGCAAGAGCAAAUAGACACGUAGGUUAAUUGAGAAAACUAAAGAGUUGGGUAAGAGCUAUCCCACUAGUAAAAUGUUAAAAACAUGUCCAUUCAUCCUACAAGAUGCUACUGAUAUUUUGUGUUUCCCGGCAACAAGGUAUGUUGUCUUGUUCAGUCUGCUCCACCUAGGUUCCUUUUACUUUAGAAACCUUUUUGGUUGAGCCAGGCUUCCUGCCUCCGCCUCUUAGAAACAACCCCCACCUUCUUUAUGAGCUGCCGCCACCUUACCAGGUUUGCUAGCCUUGUGACAACCACUGUGUGGUUUUAUUUCCUCUUCAAAUUGGACACAAGUCUUCGUCCUCAUCUCUCUCUGCAUCUUCAUUUUCCUCCUUCUCUGAAUCACAAGUUGUAUAAUCAACUUUCACAGAUGUUCUCCUGCCUCUUCGCCUCUGGGCUUGGAAGGCAGCUUCAUCUAACACAUUUGCUUUACCAUUGGUGCAGCGGUAAAGCUUUACUAUUGGAGAAACAGUGCACCCCUGUUUGGCUGGGGGUGCACUAUUGGACCUAUGCUUCUCUGCUGCUCUCUUGGCUUUGUUUGCUUGUACGGAGCCUAAGGGGCGGCCCCUCUUUUGCGGGGAACCAUCUAUAACGGGUGGCUUGGAAACUUUAGAGGUUGGAGGUGGGUUCUUCCGUAAGUGGGCACCUCUCCCCAUUGUUGCCUUGCGUGGACGGCCUCUUGCCCGUGGCUCAGCAGAGGUGGCUGGGGGAUCCAUGUAGGGGUGGAUGCGCGGCCUUCCGAGAGGCUUCCACACUCUUGAUCCCUUAGGUUGGCUUUUCAGUUUCUUUCUCUCUUCUUCCUCCUCGGUUGAUAGCGGGUUCUUCUUCGGCCUACCCAUUUUUUUUUUGGGUUUAACAUUUUGGGGCCGGCCAUGCUUCAGAGGUGCAGUUGGCUCUGCUGAAACAGCAUUAGGGUCAACCAGUUUACAUGGCCUGCCCCGUGGCCGCUUGUCUAGUACCCUCAGUAUCUUGGGUGUCUUAGAGCCUGAUCCUUUGGGCCUUCCCUUUCCCCUCUUAGGUGGUAUGGGGUUGCCAUUAGACAAGGCUUCACCUAACUCCUCAUCACUACCAGUAUCAGAGGCAAUUAUCUGUCCUUUUUCCGACACUGUUGCCCCUUUAUCCGACACUGUUGCCCCUUCUUCAGACACUGUUUCCCCUUCUUCAGACACUGUUGCCCCUUCUUCAGACAUUGUUGCCCCUUCUUUCAUCUGUUUUCUUGCAACCUGGCUCCUUCGUUCUUUCCUUCCAGCUCACUUUCUUGGAGGACUAGUGAACUACUUACGGCUUCCCACUGUAAAACACACAUCUCGAGAAAGUUACAAAACAAAAUGUUCUUUGUGCACCCCUUCAUUGCUUCAUAAAACUGACCUACAUUGGCACGAGAAAGUGUAGCUAACAUGUAUUGCAACAUGCACAGCCUAAACACAGAUUUUAUGUUUACUGAUUUUUCCAUUUAUGUAUAUGGUAAGGUGCACAAUACUAACAAAAUCUGAUAUGAACGUCUCCAUGACAUCCCUAAUUAAGGUUGCUGCAUUAAAGCGAUUCUGAAAUCUAGCUAGCUGGUAUCCUG
rnacentral:lncRNA from 1 species